UUCUCCUUUUCCAUUCAACCAUUCACUUAGUUUGGUUCCAUAUCUUUCCAAUUGUAAAUUGUGCUGUGAUAAACAUAUGCAUGCAGGUGUCUUUUUGAUAUAAUGACUUCUUUUCCUUUGGGU